rnacentral:rRNA from 1 species
GAUGAACGCUGGCGGCGUGCCUAAUACAUGCAAGUCGAGCGAACGGACGAGAAGCUUGCUUUUCUGAUGUUAGCGGCGGACGGGUGAGUAACACGUGGAUAACCUACCUAUAAGACUGGGAUAACUUCGGGAAACCGGAGCUAAUACCGGAUAAUAUUUUGAACCGCAUGGUUCGUAAGUGAAAGACGGUCUUGCUGUCACUUAUAGAUGGAUCCGCGCUGCAUUAGCUAGUUGGUAAGGUAACGGCUUACCAAGCAACGAUGCAUAGCCGACCUGAGAGGGUGAUCGGCCACACUGGAACUGAGACACGGUCCAGACUCCUACGGGAGGCAGCAGUAGGGAAUCUUCCGCAAUGGGCGAAAGCCUGACGGAGCAACGCCGCGUGAGUGAUGAAGGUCUUCGGAUCGUAAAACUCUGUUAUUAGGGAAGAACAUAUGUGUAAGUAACUGUGCACAUCUUGACGGUACCUAAUCAGAAAGCCACGGCUAACUACGUG